rnacentral:lncRNA from 1 species
GGCCGUCGGAUCAAACCGACAUUGAUUGAACGGUUCUCCUUGAUCCUCAAAGGCGGUGGAGCAUAAUCCGUGAGGCUCAUGCUGAUUGGCCAGUAGAGGAGGGCGGGCACCCAAGGGGGGAGGGCGGGCACCCUGCCCUCGAGCCCGAUCGGCCUCCUGUUCAUUGCCAUGGCUUCUGGACUCUUCUAGAUGUUGAAUAAUCGCGGUGCACGUUAAUAUCUCUAUGUAAACCCGACGUGUGGGCCUUUCUUCUAUAUUUCCUGAUAACCCCCUAUAGAAAUAGAUAAACAAUAAAACUCAUAGAAUUCUGUCAGAUGAAACCCUAAUUCUAGGUGUUAUUUGUAUAUUGGCCCUUUUCCUUGUUUAAUUCAUAAUUAAAAUUGAUACUUAAGAACCGUCAACAAACACCCCCAUACUUAGGCUUUUACUCGUCCUCGAGAAAAGGGUGGUUAAGAAAGAUAUCUGGGCUUAAAACAUUGUAAAACAUUCUCUUCAUACAUGCAGGGUGUUGUAAAAAUCAACUGUGUACCGUAGUUAGGGAAAUAUAUGGCCAAGAGUAGAGGUCCUUUCUUCUUAACCCUGUCACUUGGAGUUUUUGUAUAUUUUUGAAAAGAAAUUUAGCAUACCUUUAUCCUCAUAGGUUCUCUCAGGUCGCUCAUUUAUCUUUUAUAUAUCUCAUUGAGGCUGUUAUAAUUUGCAGAAAUUCUCAAGCAUACUUACCUUGCAUUUAUUGUUUGGUCAAAACGGGAUCUGAGGAGAGGAAUGCCAUACUCUUAGAUCAAAGACUUUGGAAAUUAAAAACUUGUCAAAUCUUACUGGUAUAUUGCUUAUUAGAGGGACCAUGGGCUAUCAUUUUCUUCUUUCUUUUCUCUUCUUCUUUUUUUCAGGUGGAUACAGAGGUACCCCUAAUUCUACUGCCGGAUACUUGUCCAUUUUUUUCUGCGAGGUUGUCGAGCAGUUGCUCCUUUUUAUUUCCCCGAAAUAAUGAUAUUUUUGCAUAGCCCAUGCCUCUAACGCAAUAAUACUUCAGAAGAAUGAAUCUUUGUGAAUAAAUGCCUUGAUCUUACGAGUAUGAUAAAUCUCUCAACAAGGGUCUAACUCAUUUUGAACAAAGUCAAUACAGAGUAGAUAGCUUUUAUAAUUAUUAACAUUUUCAAGUUUAGCAGGCAUAUAAAACACUGAGGAUGGUAGCUAGAAUUUUUAAAGAUUUUGAAAUAGAUGCUCCAAGAAACAACGAUAUCAAGAAUAAGAUACUCAUACUCUACCAUCUCACAUUCCACAAUGACUUAAGUAACACAGGGUUUUUAAAUGAUUUUUAAUAAUUUCAAGUUUUCAGGAAAUAUCACAGAGUGAGAUUGAUCAUGACUAGAAACAUUUUGACCUUGUUAAUUUAUCAUGUCAGAGACAAUAUUCUGCACGAACCAAGAUAUAGGUGUAUAUGUAAAACAUGCAGAGCAUGUACCUGAAUCGUGGAGUGGUGUGGUCGAUGUUGACGGUUCGUAAGUAUCAAUUUUAAUUAUCAAAUAAACAAGAGAAAGGACCAAUAU